CAUUAGGCCAUCCAGCCCUUUGAGUGAGCACUCACCGAUGGAGGAAAGAUGGGGGAAACAUCCUGGUCUGGCACAUGAUUUGGCGACAUCACUUUAUCAUCACAGAACAGAUUCUGCAGGCUCAGGUGGAGAUAAAUUUUUAAAUGGAGAGAAAGACGGUAGCAAGCACUUGUUUAAAUCUCAGUGACUUCAGAUGAAAUGUAUACUCAAUUAACGCAAGAAUCCUUACCUGAGCUAGGACCUGAAGGGGGAAAUGAAGCUUAAGAAGACACAGGCAGCUAGAGAGCACUUCUGGUCAAGAAUAAAUAAGAAGUGGCCUGAAUCAGCAGCACAAAUAUGUGGACCCCUUCUGGAAGAGCUGUCUCACACUUAGCAUACACCAAAGGAGAUGAGCGAUGUUGCCAGCACGUAGGCUCUUCUGCAUUAGCUGAAGAGGACAGAGGAACCCUUAGGAUACCCAGGUGUACACCCAUUUACAAACUGGGCAACCACAAAGGACCGAGGGCCAUCUCAUGGGUCUGAGGAAUUUGCUCAUGGAAAUUCAUUUUGCUCAUGCUUUCUGUGAAAUUUCUGGCAGUUACGGAGGAGAGGAUCCUUUAGAUCUGCAUCUCCUGGUUAUGGAGGAAAGGGGAAAUGGAGUCCUGCUUGUGACAUAUCGGUGUGUCUGAAAAAUUAAAACUUGGUCUGGGUUUCAGUAUGUCUAUCUAACUGUAGGAUAAAUGCCAGAAGAUGGACCUGGAAACUUUGUCUAUGUACUCUUAUUUAAUAUUUAGAGUCUAAUUGUGAUGGAUAUUUUGCAAGCUAUUAAUUGUGAUUGGAAAAUCAUCUCUCUCAUAGCAUCUGAAAACACAACAGAUGGUGAUAUUCCAAGUAGCACUGAGAAAGGGCUAAGUUUACUAAAACACCUUUCAAGGCCCAGAGUACUAAAUAUCUGAAAACAGACUGAACUCCUCCUCACUUGUAUGAUUCAGACACUAGAGCAGAAGGCAGAAGGACAUCUGUCUAAUAUUGUUAGCAUUGUUAGUAGCAAAGCAACACAGGUCAUGUCUUUGCUGUACUGGAAGAAAAAGAAAUUACUUAUUAAUCAGGAAGUUAGUCCUUUGCCAGAAGACAACAUUAGAUUAUUAUGUCCAACCUUCUGUGUAUCACAGAACUUCAAAUUUCCCCUGGAUUUCUUGUGAUGAACUUAGCUUGACUAAAGAAAAGCUUCCAAAAGUUACCCACUCUUGAUUUGUUUAAUUUCCUUUACUAUUUAAACCUUUUGGGUACUUUUCAGCUAAGUUUACAGCCCUGGAGGACAAUUUCAGAAGAAAUAUUAGGACCUCCAUUUUGGUGGAAUGUUGUAAUUGUAUAAACUGAUGGUAAAGGACUAAAACACUCAAACAGAAGCCUGCCUAAUAAAUAGUAAUUUGUAUCUUUCAUAUUAACUCCUGUAAGGCACCGUUUUUAAGUAGGUAUUGACUUGAAUUCAGUUAAUACUAUAUAUAUAUUUUUUUGAAGUGGUUUACCAGUGAAAUGAAGAGCCACAAAAGGCAGGAGAGGAGGAAGAACAUAAAUCUUUACAUUAAUUGUUGUUUUUCUCUUCCAUUAUAUUAUUGUCAAAACUUGAGAUGCAGAAUGUAGAAACAACUUUUAAGCAUAUCAAAUACUCCUCUGUUAAGGUCAGUAAACUAUAUUUUAAAAAUAUCUACCUUUUUUUCUUUCCUUCCUUCCUUUCUAAAUUGUGACAAAAUUAUUCUUCCUAUCACUUUAAUGGCAUCAUGUAAAAGGCAGCUUUACAGACUGCUCUGGUUCUGCAUCAUUGGUGCAUCUCCUUUCAGCAAAGAGCUUACACGUGAGCUUAUCUUUAGGUAUUUGUAAUUUCCACUUGAGCUCAAUGGAAUUUAAGAUCAUGAAGAAACUUUAAUGCUUUGCUGAGUGGGAAUACAUUUUAGUAUAUGCUUAAGUAUUUUUCUCAAGAGGCUUACCCAUGCAUAAGACUUCUUAAAAGGCCCUUCUGAGUUAAAAAUACCUGAAGUUCUUUCUAAUGAGGAAGUAUAGAAUUCUGUUCAAGAUAAUCAAGACUCAUGCCAUCACUUAUUUUAAAAUUCUUAUUAGGAAUGAAUAAAAAAGGGUUAUAGUUGAUCAAAUAAGCACAGGUUAAAGAUAAAAACAGAGAAGGAUUAUAGUAGAGUGGAAAUGCAUAAGCAUCCCUUACUGAACUUCUUUUAUAACCUUUCCUUAACUAUACCACAUUUAUCUAUAAGCUCUUUAAGGCAGGAAUUCAUCAUUCUGCAUAUAUAUGAGAAGCCUAACAUGGUUCAGGGUGUAUUUUAAUAUUUAAUAACAAAUCAUUUUCUUUGGGUAUUAUAGAGUUUAUUGCUGUAAUACUGUUUUGCUAUUUAUUAAAUACCUGAACAAUACAAUAGACAGAGAGACAUGGGCAAUUAUUCAUAAUAUUUUCCAAAGAUCUAAAACAUACUUCUGUGGUUUUUGGAAAGUAUUUCUGAGGCUUCCCAGAUAGUACAUGAUUGUAACAGAAUAUUAACACAUGAUGGGGCAUGUUUCAGAGGUUCAUUAAUACAUGCUGUAGAUGUGCAGCUUCAUGCAUUCAGCCACCUGAGGCAUGUAUUAAUGGACCAUUAAAACAUGCCCAGGAGUGUCUUAAUGCUAUUACAGUAUGGCUCUGCAAUUUUUAAUUCAACUUUUUAUAAAACAAUUAUUUUCAAAAAUGCAAUUUUUAAUGUACUCUGAAACCUCUCUUCAAUUCAGAAAAGACAGGGGAAGGGGUGCGGGAUGUGACAUUAGACUAAGAAAGCAACAGGACAUGGAUAUAAAUACUUUUUUUUUUCUUUUUUUACCAUUUUAAUAUAUUUGCUUUUGAUUUUAUAUUGUAUUGUAUAAAUAGCAUAGUCCUAAGGCCUGAUUCACGUUUUUGCUGACCUACCUUUCCACUGCUCAGGAAGUGUAAGAGAGUCUUAAAGUGCCAUAAAUGUAAAUCACACUCCCAGACUACUUAGCUCAAUUGCUAAUUUCAAUAGACAUUUCUAGGUUUCUAGGUGAGUAAGACUUUUCAACAGCUUUGGACUUCUGUUGAGGAAAAAGCAAAACUAGAAAUCCAAGCAGUUUGCCAAAUAACUUUUGCUGUAGAAAGUUAAGACUAGGAAAGGGAAAAGUCGUUCUACCAUGGGUGGUCAAUCUGCUCAUAACUUCAGUUAAAUGUUAUUGCUGACCACGUCAGUUUCACAAACCAAAUCUCAACUGAAUUAAUUCUAAAAUAAUCAGUUAUCCUUUGGAACUGUUAUUAUUGUUAUACACCAAUAAUACAAAUACUAUUAUAUUUAUUAUGAUAGUACAAUGAACAAUCCAUGAUUUGAUACUAAACAUUGUGUAAGAACAUAGAGCAAGCUGUGGAGCAAAGCAUAUUCUCCCAUGUCACCCUCCACAUCCUUUCUAAGUUUGGAGCAACAUUAAGAUCUUAGAUGUACUUGAACCUAACUAGAGAAAAGUCCGUUAAUUAUCUGCUUUAAAAGACUGUAGGUCACCCUUCAAAAAAUUCACCAUCUGCCCCCCCAAAAAAUAUUAUUUCAGGUCAAUUUUAAAUGAAGGCAAAAUCCAAAUGCAAUAUCAUGUAUUUAUUACUGCAUGCCACCUCAUUAACAAAAGCAAGCAUCAUGUUGAAAUGGAGUACUGCAAAAAAUUGUUCAGAAAAGAUUGUAGCUAUGUAACAAAGCAUUUUUUUAUACUUCUUGCUAAAAACUAUCUAAGGAAAUUUUUUUCUCUUUCUGAAUUAGUUUUCUGACAGAAAAAGUUGCAGUGAAGCUCUCCAUAUUUAGAUUAGUGUAGCUUAGGGCUGUGUAUUAAUCAUCAUUAUCAUAAUAAUAGCAUUACACCAUUAUUACAUAUUACUCCUCCUCUGAAGUAUAUAAGUACAGUGCACUAUAAUUUGCAAAUAGUAGCACUGCUGGAGCUGCACUUUUCAUUCGCAGUGCUGGAGGAGGAACAUCAGAACAAUGCCAGAUUUAACUGGAGCAUCACCACCUCAGACUACGAACUCAACAGCCUUAAAUCCUCCACGCUCAUCAGGCAGAAGGUCCAAAACGAUACAUGGCUGAAUCCUUCACUGGAUAUUGAUUGCAUGGAUCUGGGACUGCUUUUUGUUUUUUCCCGUUUCUGUGAGAGCUAUGGUGCUUAUCAGUCUUGGAACAGGAAGAUCUGUGCGAGAGACGUAGUAUGAUAACCUAAAGCUUUAUAACAACUGGUGGGAUAUGAGAGCCUCUCUUCUCCUUUCCUUCACCAUGCCAAUUUCAAGUGUGGGGAGUUUUUUAAUAAUUUUUUUUUUGAAAGGAAAAAGAAUGGAUGGGUGUUGGGGGUGCUUGGCUUUUCAGAGGGAGCAUGGUAGAGGGAUUUGACUGGAUGCACUAAGUUCUUAUGCUUGAA